rnacentral:rRNA from 1 species
CCCGGGUCUUGUACACACCGCCCGUCACACCAUGGGAGUUGGUUCUACCUUAAGCCGUCCCGCUAACCGCAAGGAGGCGCACGACCACGGUAGGGUCAAUGACUGGGGUG